rnacentral:rRNA from 1 species
UACGUGGGGCGCAAGCGUUAUCCGGAAUUAUUGGGCGUAAAGAGCUCGUAGGCGGUUUGUCGCGUCUGCCGUGAAAGUCCGGGGCUCAACUCCGGAUCUGCGGUGGGUACGGGCAGACUAGAGUGAUGUAGGGGAGACUGGAAUUCCUGGUGUAGCGGUGAAAUGCGCAGAUAUCAGGAGGAACACCGAUGGCGAAGGCAGGUCUCUGGGCAUUAACUGACGCUGAGGAGCGAAAGCAUGGGGAGCGAACAGG